CCUACGGGUGGCUGCAGCGGGGAAUAUUGCACAAUGGGCGCAAGCCUGAUGCAGCCAUGCCGCGUGUGUGAAGAAGGCCUUCGGGUUGUAAAGCACUUUCAGCGGGGAGGAAGGCGUUAAGGUUAAUAACCUUGUCGAUUGACGUUACCCGCAGAAGAAGCACCGGCUAACUCCGUGCCAGCAGCCGCGGUAAUACGGAGGGUGCAAGCGUUAAUCGGAAUUACUGGGCGUAAAGCGCACGCAGGCGGUCUGUCAAGUCGGAUGUGAAAUCCCCGGGCUCAACCUGGGAACUGCAUUCGAAACUGGCAGGCUAGAGUCUUGUAGAGGGGGGUAGAAUUCCAGGUGUAGCGGUGAAAUGCGUAGAGAUCUGGAGGAAUACCGGUGGCGAAGGCGGCCCCCUGGACAAAGACUGACGCUCAGGUGCGAAAGCGUGGGGAGCAAACAGGAUUAGAUACCCCAGUAGUC
rnacentral:rRNA from 1 species